CACGUAGGCACCAAGCGUUGUCCGGAUUUAUUGGGCGUAAAGAGCUCGUAGGCGGUUUAGUAAGUCGGGUGUGAAAACUCUGGGCUUAACCCAGAGCCGCCACCCGAUACUGCUCUGACUUGAGUUCGGUAGGGGAGCAGGGAAUUCCUAGUGUAGCGGUGAAAUGCGCAGAUAUUAGGAGGAACACCGGUGGCGAAGGCGCUGCUCUGGGCCGAUACUGACGCUGAGGAGCGAAAGCGUGGGUAGCAAACAGG
rnacentral:rRNA from 1 species